GCAUAGCUCAGUUGGCAGAGCAUAAGACUCUUAACCUCAGGGUUGUGGGUUUGAGCCCCACGUUGGGCC